rnacentral:misc_RNA from 1 species
UAAUAAGUGUUUUAUGGCACUUUUUUAAAUCCAUAUCCACCUUGUGUGCAAUGUCAGUCGAUCUUCUUUAUGGAGAUUGGCCAUACAUCAACCAUAUCUUUUAACUCUUUGUCUGAAAAAUAUUAUGAAUAAACAAUUCAAAAUA